UAUAUUUCACCAAUUUUAAGAAGUCCCUGACAUCAAAACAUGGCUUGUUUUGUUCCUGGAUUCUUCAGUGAUGACGAUCAGAGUCUGAGUGAACCUGCUGUCAGACAGGUUGGGCCGAUAGACGAUUCCAUCGCCGAUGGCUGAUAGACAUCACGAUGCUGCGCCGGCAAACAGCUUCAUGAGCUCCAGUAUCUCGUGCGUGCAUCCGUUGUCAUGCAACAGAGAAGUUGCGUCUGUGGACAGUUGUGAACGUGCUGACAGCUGGUUGCCCAGGCUUUGGGUUAAAGAUCUCAAUGUGUCACCAGGAGCCACCGGUAUUUGGUCCUGUUGUUUUUUUCUCAAAAACCGGUAGCCGCUGACUUGCAUUUAAGAAUCACCAAGGGCAACGGUUUCACCUAAAAAACCUUUACUGUUCUACUGCAAAAACCUUGGAUGACCUGAGGAUCACUAUUGCACACCAAAUACUCUUACUCAGCAGAUGGGGACAGCUACCAUCACCCAAUUUUCACCCAAAAGUGGCUGCGCUAUGCACCAGACCGGGGCAGGAGGGACUGGACGAAGACUUAUGCAGGCAUCAGAUGACAAUGAAGUGUAAAUAAAGAGUAGAGAGGCUAAUAAACAUGAAUUUGAUUUUAAAUUGUAUG